GACGAACGCUGGCGGCGUGCUUAACACAUGCAAGUCGAGCGGUAAGGCUCCUUCGGGAGUACACGAGCGGCGAACGGGUGAGUAACACGUGAGCAAUCUGCCCUUCACUUUGGGAUAAGCACCGGAAACGGUGUCUAAUACCGAAUACGACCACUUCCGGCAUCGGAUGGUGGUGGAAAGUUCCGGCGGUGAAGGAUGCGCUCGCGGCCUAUCAGCUUGUUGGUGGGGUAACGGCCCACCAAGGCUUCGACGGGUAGCCGGCCUGAGAGGGGGACCGGCCACACUGGGACUGAGACACGGCCCAGACUCCUACGGGAGGCAGCAGUGGGGAAUAUUGGACAAUGGGCGAAAGCCUGAUCCAGCAACGCCGCGUGAGGGAUGACUGCCUUCGGGUUGUAAACCUCUUUCAGUACCGACGAAGCGAAAGUGACGGUAGGUACAGAAGAAGGACCGGCCAACUACGUGCCAGCCGCCGCCGUAACAC
rnacentral:rRNA from 1 species